UGGGGAAUAGCUCAGUGGUAGAGUGCAUGCCUAGCAUGCAUAAAGCCCUGGGUUCAAUCCCUAGUACCUCCA
rnacentral:tRNA from 1 species